GAUAUAGCCCGCGUGAUGGGGAAGGUCAUUAAGACCGAAGUACAUGAUUCCAUGCUUCCAAGAAAAGCAUCUAGAGAGAGAAGUAGUGCCCGUACCGCAAACCGACACAGGUAGAUGAGGAGAGAAUCCUAAGGCCGGCGGAAGAAUUGCAGUUAAGGAACUAGGCAAAUUGACCCCGUAAGUUCGCGAGAAGGGGUGCCUGCGAGAGCAGGCCGCAGAGAAUAGGCCCAAGCAACUGUUUAGCAAAAACACAGGUCUCUGCUAAAGCGUAAGCUGAUGUAUAGGGGCUGACGCCUGCCCGGUGCUGGAAGGUUAAGGGGAAUACUUAGCGCAAGCGAAGGUAUGAACUUAAGCCCCAGUAAACGGCGGCCGUAACAAUAACGGUCCUAAGGUAGCGAAAUUCCUUGUCAGGUAAGUUCUGACCCGCACGAAUGGCGUAAUGACUUGGGCACUGUCUCAACUGCAAAUCCGGCGAAGUUGUAGUGCGAGUGAAGAUGCUCGCUACCCGCGAUUGGACGGAAAGACCCCGUAGAGCUUUACUGUAGCUUAGCAUUGAAUUCCGGUAUUGUCUGUACAGGAUAGGUGGGAGACUGGGAAACUAGGGCGUCAGCCUUAGUGGAGUCAACCUUGGGAUACCACCCUGACAGUACUGGGGUUCUAACAGGACGCCAUGAAGCUGGUGACUGGACAUUGUUAGGUGGGCAGUUUGACUGGGGCGGUCGCCUCCUAAAAAGUAACGGAGGCGCCCAAAGGUUCCCUCAGAACGGUCGGAAAUCGUUCGUAGAGUGCAAAGGCAGAAGGGAGCCUGACUGCGAGACCCACAAGUCGAGCAGGGACGAAAGUCGGGCUUAGUGAUCCGGUGGUACCUCGUGGGAGGGCCAUCGCUCAACGGAUAAAAGCUACCUCGGGGAUAACAGGCUGAUCUCCCCCAAGAGUCCACAUCGACGGGGAGGUUUGGCACCUCGAUGUCGGCUCGUCGCAUCCUGGGGCUGUAGUAGGUCCCAAGGGUUGGGCUGUUCGCCCAUUAAAGCGGCACGCGAGCUGGGUUCAGAACGUCGUGAGACAGUUCGGUCCCUAUCCGUCGCGGGCGUAGGAAAUUUGAGAGGAGCUAUCCUUAGUACGAGAGGACCGGGAUGGACUGACCUCUGGUGCACCAGUUGUUCUGCCAAGAGCAUGGCUGGGUAGCUAAGUCGGGAAGGGAUAAACGCUGAAAGCAUCUAAGCGUGAAGCCCCCCUCAAGAUGAGAUUUCCCAUAGCAUAAGCUAGUAAGACCCCUUGAAGAACACAAGGUUGAUAGGUCAGAGGUGGAAGUGCGGUAACGUAUGUAGCUGACUGAUACUAAUAGGUCGAGGGCUUGAC
rnacentral:rRNA from 1 species